UUGACCUCGGAUCAGGUAGGGAUACCCGCUGAACUUAAGCAUAUCAUAAGCCCGGAGGAAAAAUCAUUACAGUGCCGCCGGGACGCGCCCCCUAAACCGGGGGCGUGCUCCCGCAACUG
rnacentral:rRNA from 1 species